GCGGAAGUGGCGGAAUUGGUAGACGCGCACGUUUGAGGGGCGUGUGGGGAAACCCGUGAGGGUUCGAGUCCCUCCUUCCGCAC
rnacentral:tRNA from 1 species